UGUUUUCUGAGAAAAUCACCUGCCUUCAGUUCAAAAGGUGUCUGGUGUCCUCAGGCUUUGGACACUAACACUUACACGAUUGCCGAAGGACGCCAAAUUAAUUUUGUUUCAGGAGCUCUUUCUUGCACACUUGUAAGCAAAGGAAAGGCAGGGAGCUUAGAACCUGAAUGUAUUUUCAUGCUAGACCUGCUGCUAGUGUGUGUCAUUAAAUGAAAGACUAAAGAUCCA